rnacentral:rRNA from 2 species
AUUAAUUUGAGAGUUUGAUCCUGGCUCAGGACGAACGCUGGCGGCGUGCCUAAUACAUGCAAGUCGAACGAACUCUGGUAUUGAUUGGUGCUUGCAUCAUGAUUUACAUUUGAGUGAGUGGCGAACUGGUGAGUAACACGUGGGAAACCUGCCCAGAAGCGGGGGAUAACACCUGGAAACAGAUGCUAAUACCGCAUAACAACUUGGACCGCAUGGUCUGAGCUUGAAAGAUGGCUUCGGCUAUCACUUUUGGAUGGUCCCGCGGCGUAUUAGCUAGAUGGUGGGGUAACGGCUCACCAUGGCAAUGAUACGUAGCCGACCUGAGAGGGUAAUCGGCCACAUUGGGACUGAGACACGGCCCAAACUCCUACGGGAGGCAGCAGUAGGGAAUCUUCCACAAUGGACGAAAGUCUGAUGGAGCAACGCCGCGUGAGUGAAGAAGGGUUUCGGCUCGUAAAACUCUGUUGUUAAAGAAGAACAUAUCUGAGAGUAACUGUUCAGGUAUUGACGGUAUUUAACCAGAAAGCCACGGCUAACUACGUGCCAGCAGCCGCGGUAAUACGUAGGUGGCAAGCGUUGUCCGGAUUUAUUGGGCGUAAAGCGAGCGCAGGCGGUUUUUUAAGUCUGAUGUGAAAGCCUUCGGCUCAACCGAAGAAGUGCAUCGGAAACUGGGAAACUUGAGUGCAGAAGAGGACAGUGGAACUCCAUGUGUAGCGGUGAAAUGCGUAGAUAUAUGGAAGAACACCAGUGGCGAAGGCGGCUGUCUGGUCUGUAACUGACGCUGAGGCUCGAAAGUAUGGGUAGCAAACAGGAUUAGAUACCCUGGUAGUCCAUACCGUAAACGAUGAAUGCUAAGUGUUGGAGGGUUUCCGCCCUUCAGUGCUGCAGCUAACGCAUUAAGCAUUCCGCCUGGGGAGUACGGCCGCAAGGCUGAAACUCAAAGGAAUUGACGGGGGCCCGCACAAGCGGUGGAGCAUGUGGUUUAAUUCGAAGCUACGCGAAGAACCUUACCAGGUCUUGACAUACUAUGCAAAUCUAAGAGAUUAGACGUUCCCUUCGGGGACAUGGAUACAGGUGGUGCAUGGUUGUCGUCAGCUCGUGUCGUGAGAUGUUGGGUUAAGUCCCGCAACGAGCGCAACCCUUAUUAUCAGUUGCCAGCAUUAAGUUGGGCACUCUGGUGAGACUGCCGGUGACAAACCGGAGGAAGGUGGGGAUGACGUCAAAUCAUCAUGCCCCUUAUGACCUGGGCUACACACGUGCUACAAUGGAUGGUACAACGAGUUGCGAACUCGCGAGAGUAAGCUAAUCUCUUAAAGCCAUUCUCAGUUCGGAUUGUAGGCUGCAACUCGCCUACAUGAAGUCGGAAUCGCUAGUAAUCGCGGAUCAGCAUGCCGCGGUGAAUACGUUCCCGGGCCUUGUACACACCGCCCGUCACACCAUGAGAGUUUGUAACACCCAAAGUCGGUGGGGUAACCUUUUAGGAACCAGCCGCCUAAGGUGGGACAGAUGAUUAGGGUGAAGUCGUAACAAGGUAGCCGUAGGAGAA